AUGGCCUGGACCACUGUCCUCCUCAUGUUCCUCUGUCACUGCACAGGUUCCCUGUCCCAGCCUGAGAUGAUCCAGCAACCAUCCCUCUCUGCAUCUCUUGGAACAACAGCCAGACUCACUUGCACCCUGAGCAGCGGCUUCAGUGUUGGCAGCUAUCACAUAUACUGGUACCAGCAAAAGCCAGGGAGCCCUCCCUGGUAUCUGCUGAACUACUACUCAGACUCAAGCAAGCACCAGGGCUCUGGGAUUCCCAGCCACUUCUCUGGUUCCGUAGAUGUCUCGACCAAUGCAGGGCUUCAACUCAUCUCUGGGCUGUAG